CGACCGACGCACGGGUGCGUAACGCGUAUGCAACCUACCUUUAACAGGGGGAUAACACUGAGAAAUUGGUACUAAUACCCCAUAAUAUCAUAGAAGGCAUCUUUUAUGGUUGAAAAUUCCGAUGGUUAGAGAUGGGCAUGCGUUGUAUUAGCUAGUUGGUGGGGUAACGGCUCACCAAGGCGACGAUACAUAGGGGGACUGAGAGGUUAACCCCCCACACUGGUACUGAGACACGGACCAG
rnacentral:rRNA from 1 species